AGAGGAAGACGUUAUUGAGAGCCAUCGUGGAUGGUUCCGUCUUCCCUCGAGGGAGGACGUCGGAUAUAUUUCCGUUCUUCCCUCGAGAAGUCUCUACUAAAGUCUUCACUUGACACUUCACCUCAUUUAAACUCUCAAUAGCUACAUUGAGAUAAUUUACGGCUGUGGAUGGCUAGGCCGUAACUUGCUGGUCAGUGAACGCGGGACAACUGUACGUGAUUGAUUCGUGUAUCGGACAUGUGACGCACCAGGGUACAGAGGGUUGUCACUGUCAGGCUCCAUCAGUUCCGUCUGUGCUUCCUGGUGAGCAGGUUGAGCACUGCAAGAAGCCUAAGAUUUAGAAAUCGCUCUCCAGUACUCUUAAUGCAUUGGUAAAUGUAUACAUUGACUUCACCACCGAUGGCCAAGUAUUAUUUUGUAAAUACUGUGAGGUCGUGGUUUCUUCAUCCAAGAAAUUUCAAGUGCAGCAACAUAUUCAAACUGCAAAGCAUGCCAUGAAAAAAGAAGCCAAAACGAGUGCCAAACAACAGACACUGCUCCCCGCAACAGUGUCGCGGCCUGGGCCGGAACAUUUUCAGUUUAAUCAAGAUCUUUGUAGAGCCUUGGUCUCGGCUGAUAUACCAUUGAAUAAGCUGAACAACAAGGAACUGGUCUCAUUCUUAGAGAAGUACACGGAUCAAAAAGUGCCAAGUGAAUCAACACUGAGAAAAAAAUGAUGUUCCUGAUCUUUACAAUGAAACUUUAGAUAGACUGAGAGAGAAGGUAGGUGAUAAUUCCAUCUGGGUAUCAUUGGAUGAGACAACAGAUGUAGAUGCAAGAUGCGUUGCAAAUUUUGUGUUUGGCAUUUUGGGGCCAGAAGAAGAAAGAGACAAAUCAUACUUGCUUAAUUUGAAGGUCUUAGAUAAGGUAAAUCACUCAACCAUGGCAGCAUUUUUCACUGAUUCCUUGGGAUGAUUAUGGGUGGAUGGCAUCAAGUAUGAUCGUGUACUUCUUGUAUGCACUGAUGCAGCCCCAUAUAUGGUUAAAUGUAUGGCAGGACUAGAAAUUCUGUUUCCAAAAAUGAUUCAUGUGACUUGUUUAGCCCAUGGCCUGCACAGGGUUGCUGAAUUAGCUCGUGCAGUUAUGCCUGAUGUGAAUGUGUUGAUUUCUACUGUGAAGAAGGUAUUUCUGAAAGCACGGAGUCGCAAAGAGAGAUUUCGACAAAUUGCUGGUACUGUGCCACUUCCUUCUUCACCAGUAGUGACUAGAUGGGGCACCUGGAUCGAGGCAGCAUUGUACUACGCUGACAAUUUUGAAACUGUCAAGUGUGUAGUUGAAUCAUUUGAUCCCACAGCAUCUGUACAUAUGAAGGAGGCACAAAAUGUACUCAAGAAGGAUGGCUUGCAGGAGGAUCUAAUUUUCAUGAGAGCCAACUUAGCAUGUAUUUCCUUUGCAAUCCUCAAGUUGGAGAAAAAGGACUAACUCUUAAGAGCAGCAUGGAUGUAGUACAAGAGGUUGUUGAUUCUUUGAGUCACCUUGAGAAGAAGGAUUACUUUGAAAAAAUCAGCCAGGUUCUUGCUAAAAACAAAGGUUACAGCCGACUGAAGAAAAUCAGUGAGAUAUUGCAAAGCAAUUCUUCUCUUGAUGCUACCACUCAAGGAGAACUUGAGCUGUCAGACAUAGUUAAGUUACAGUAUGCUCCUAUCGUUUCGUGCGAUGUUGAACGAGUGUUUUCACAGUACAAAUGCAUUCUUGCUGACAACAGGCGAAAGUUUGUGUUUGAAAAUCUACUCCACCAUGUUGUAAUCAAAUGCAAUUCACUUUCAUAAACAGCUUGGGGGUUAUUUAAUAAUUGAUUUUGAACAAGGUUAGGCUACAUAUCUUAAAAGUAGCAAAUUCCUACAUUCAGUUAAUAUAAGGAAAUGUAUUGGUGUUUUUCUGUAUUAUCAAGUAAAUUAUUUUGUCAGUACA
rnacentral:lncRNA from 1 species